rnacentral:rRNA from 1 species
CCCCUAGAUGUUCUGGCCGCACGCGCGCUACACUGAACAGUUCAACAAGUCUUAACCUUGGCCGAUAGGUCUGGGUAAUCUUUGAACGCUGUUCGUGAUUGGGAUAGACCUUUGCAAUUAUGGGUCUUCAACGAGGAAUUCCUAGUAAACGCAAGUCAUCAGCUUGCAUUGAUUACGUCCCUGCCCUUUGUACACACCGCCCGUCGCACCUACCGAUUGAAUGGUCCGGUGAAAUCUCGGGACGGCGGCUUGGUCGCUUGCGUCCGACUGCUGAAACUUGAUUAAACCAUAUCAUUUAGAGGAAGGUGAAGUCGUAACA